rnacentral:lncRNA from 1 species
GCUGAGCAUACCAAACACCCUGGAUCUUCACAUCCUUGGGAGCUUUUGCUCCCAAAUCGGUAUCAGAAGGCUGAAUACUCUCAAACACACCAAUAACUUCACCAGUCUCAGGCUUGCUCUUGGUCACACUCAAAGUGAUUUUCCCUGUUGAAGAUGAAGCAUUCUUUAUGUUUUCUUUAGCAAGUUCUUCUUCAUCACCUCUCCCUCCAGCAGGCAAUGCAACAGCAUUAUCAUAUCCAGUUGAACCUCCUCUUCCCUUUGGGUCCAAGAAAGACGAGCCACGGUAAGAUGGGACUAAAAAGUCUCCACUAAAGCUCUCUGGUUUUCCAGAAGCCACCAAUUGUUUGAUGGUGAAGAGGAACGGGACACGCUCACCUCCCGGCAACUGGACAGUGACAGCAGCAUAGUCAAUUCCAUCUUUCUCCUCAAACUUGAUCGAACCAUCAGCACCAACUUCAAAGGGUCCUUCAAUCUCGUCUAGUGUGUAAGUUAGACGAGUCAUGAGCUUGGUGUUUUGGAAUUCUGGUGGGGCGUUCUUGCUCACUCCUUCAGCCUUCACAGUGAAAGAAGUUGGCUCAAGACAGAAUUUCUUGGCUUGAUAUUUGCCUGCCUUGAAGGCAAAUGAAUCAACUCCUCCAUCAAUGGUUGGGCACUGGUUAGCUGUUCCAGUUCCCUUAACUUCAAGGUAUGUCUUGCUCUGAAUUUCAUCAAAGGUGAGUCUCUUUGGUACUCCUUCAGCACCAGCUCCCUGGAAAUACAUGAAAAGUAUCGAACAAUUAAGAUGCUCACCAAGUUGUAGGAUUACACUUUGUAUAUAUCAAGUGUUAAUCAGUCUAGACAUUCUUAGAUCUCAUAUAUCAAGUGUACUCAGACUAAUUAAGUCCUUGAAGUGAGAUUUUCUUUAACGCUUUAAAACUUUAAAGUCUGUAUCUAAUAUUUAAGUCAUUUAAGACUUACCGUAACACACUAACCAUAUAUCAUCAGUGGACUAUGUGGUGGACUGAUUUUCAAAUAAUCCUUGAUUGAAUAGUAUAAUGAAAAUGUUAUGGGAUCAUUAAUGUAAAAAUGAAUUACAAGUUAAAUUAAGAACAACAGGUACUUUAUUAAGUCACAGAGAAUCAAAUGGAUUAUUCCACUUGGAUCUAAGUAGUUUGAUCCUUUAUUUGGCAAGAAAUUGCCACUAAGUUAAACAAAUUCGGAGAUUAUCAAUUACCCAUUCUAAGUCUGAACUAUAAUUAUUUUCUCCAAGAACUCAAUUCAAUAUCAGCAACUAAAACAAUACAGACAUUCACAUCCAAACGCAAAUAUAAAGCAUCGUGGAGAAUCAUAAGAAGAAAGUAAUCGUGGAAGGAAAGUACGAUAAGAACAUACCGAAACGACAAGAGCGGAAGUGGCAAGAGCGAAGCCGGCAAUCUUAGCAGCAUCGGCAAACUUGCGAGAAACGUCUUUGAGAUCGGAGUGAAGAGAGCAGGUGAGUCUAGGUCCGGAAGAUUCAAGGCCAAAGGCUUUAGAAAGGGAUUGAGAAGAUCUGAGGUGAGAGGUGGUAGUUCUUGAAGCCAACUUGGAGGGUUGCAUAAGGGUAGCCGCGGCCGCCUGAACUGAAGCCGCCAUUGUUGUAUCCGGAUUGAGUGUAAGAGAGGAGAAGUGAAAUUUUGUGCGGGGAAUGAUACUGAAACUAUAACGGAGAGUAGAGAGGAUUUAGGAAAUGAAUUAUGUGGUUUUGGUUAGAGUAAGAUAAUGAAUUGGAUAAGAAAAAUCUCAUUGGAUGAUUCCCUCAUCAUUCUUUGCCUCAAUUUUCUUCCACGUGGCAUACAAACUCAUUUUCUACUUGGAUAUACUUUUUAAUUCCUUUUUUGCCUUCAAAUAUUUUAAUCAUAAAUAACAUUUCAGCUUUCAUAUUUUAAAUCUUUUUAUGAACAUUCAAAUUUCAAUUCUGAGUCCAAUCAAUUGUCCACCUACUCAAUUUUGUUAUUUAUUUUAGAAAAAUCACAAUUCUCCUAUGCUCAACUCUAUUGAUGCUAGCUAUAAUAAAAUUACAUAUCAAUGAUGAUCUAAAGUUACAACACAAGUGCUGGUAAAUUUUCAAUUAGAUCAAAUAGGUUAAACUAAUGAAUAAGGAUUAAAUUUAAUAAACUAAUAUUAUAUAGCAUUCUAAAACUCUUUUCGAUCAGUGAAUUUGCUUUAAAACCACGUCAUUCUGAUACCAUGUUUAUUAAUUAACUCAAAAACUUAAAUCGAUGAGUGAAACUAAAUUUAAUGUAUUACUAGCUUUAUCAAGUUGGGUUUUUGUUGCACUUAUCAAAGAAAAAAGAAGUUACAAAAUCUUUUACUUCAGUUUUACAAAGGUAGAGAUGCAAAAAUGAAGAAAUGGGAAGGGAGAGAGCUGUAUAGAGAGCUAGAAGAAACGAGCAACCAUGGCCCAAACAGGGAACACAAGGAGGAGGAUGAUUCCAAUGGUAUUGGAAAUUCCAUGAGUUUGAGUAAGAGAGUUUCUGAAGCCACCAGAUGCACGAAUGUGCUCUUGGAGAAGGUAACAUCCAAUUAUCAAACAUAUCACUACCCCAGCCCAGUGGUCUCUCAAUGUAUGUGCAAAGAACCCUGGUGUUGCCACUAGAAGCAGAAUCAAUGACCCUGGAAUCUCCAACCAAUCUGCAAAAACCAACUUCAAUUCAUUUUUUUUUGUUGUAACGAACUAUUGAAGAUAUGACCGAGUUAAGUAUAGCUCAACUGCCUGUGACAUAUCACUCACAUUGACCAAGAUCAGCAGUGCUUCAAAUUUGAAAAUGUGUUUCUGUAAGUUAAUGUCUCGUUUGGUUAAUAGUUUUUAAAAAUUAAAGCUAUUUUCACCCAUAACUUUCAUACUGGUUUGCAUCUUUUUAAAGUAAAAGAGUUAAUUCUUAGUCAAAUUUUAAAAACAAUUUUUCUUUUUUUUUUUUUUACUUUUCAAAACUUGGCUUGAUUUUUAAAAACAUUGGUACAAAGUAGAAAGUAAAUGUUUAGAAAGAGAACGAGUGUUUAUAGGCUUAAUCUUAAAAAAGAAAAGAAAAAAAACCAAAUGAUUAUCAAACAUGAUCUCUUAGAUCAUAAUAGGAGAGAUUACAAGUCAAAAGAGGCAAAAUGAUCAAAAGUUUAGAGGGAGGAAAAACAUUUUUAAACCUGAAGCUUUUUCUUGCAUUAUUAUGUCAAGUAUCAAAGCCACGUUCUCUAUCAAGCACUCGCUACGCCGAGUUUAAAUAAUUCAUCAUGUCACCUCAACAAAUACAAGGUUGUACUGAUUGACAAAUGCCUUUUUGUAGUUAAUGAUUGAAAUGUAUUAUAAAUUCAAAACAACCUUUCAUCAUACACAGCGACAGGAUACCGAUCGACAAGAAAAGUGGUGAAAAAGUAAACAAAUAACCAUGGUGCUUACCUGGGAAAUGUCGCGGAAAGAAGAGCCUCAAUACCACUGCAACGAAGGCAAUCCAUUUCCCAGCAUCCCCUCUUAAGAAAAUCAAGAAUAAACACAAUAUUAGUUAACAUUGAAAUACCUUUGGAUAAAGCUUAAAAAUUAAACCAACAAGGAACACAGAGUGAGUAUCACCUCAGUAAGUUAAAAAUCCCUUGAGGAAGACUGAAGAAAAUGUAAGGGACAAGAAGUGAAGUAAGCAUAUUUGUUCUCCAGUUCGUACGAUCCAAAAUCAACAGGUAACUGCAUAAUGAUGUUAAAUUUUAGAAUGUCAGAAACAAAACAAAAGCCCUUAUAUUAGAAAUAAAGCACCCACAUGGCAGCAAAGGAAGCAAGCCAUUUAAAAAAGGAAGUGCCAAGACCCUUUCCACCGAGCUUGGUGGCAUGUUCAAGAAGCCUAGUGGCUGCAAUUUUAAGCUCAUGGAUAUCAGAAUUAAUCAACUCCUCCAUUAGAGGAUCACUAUUGAGAGCCAAAUACGCCAUCCUCCCCAUUUUUGCUUCUGGGUCUACAAGGAAACGAAAAAUGAGAAAGCUUUGGGAAACAAGAGCCUGUGCGGCAUUUAUACAAACACCUGGAAUGCAUUUUUAUAGUUCAAAAAAUCGAGAAGAACUAGGUAAUAGGAAAAUGUAACGGGGAUUGGUCAGGCUCCUUGUUUUCAGCAGAGUUAGUGUUAGAGAAUGAAAAAAAAAAGGGUAUGAAGUUUCGGAUCAGAUUAGUUUUGCGUUUGACUGUCUCACCCAAAUUCUCAGCUUACUUGGUCCAUCUCCUAUCCUAUAUUCAUAUCCUUACUUCUAAUUUUUCCUUUUCAUUGGCCAUUUAAUUCUCCAUGAGCUCUAUCUUUAGUAUUUCAUGCAUUUAAUUCUUUCCCUCAUCUUCAAAAAGUGUAAUAAGUUUUAAUUUGCGUGUAAUCUCUAUCUGAUUUAUGAACUUCAAAAGGUAUCUUCAGUCUUCAUCAAAUUCUUACUAUCUCAUAUUUUUCAAAAUUUACAUAUCUUAAUUUUCACGUCUUAUUAGACUUUAUAUUCUUUUUUUAUAUCUAAUCAAUCUAUUAAUUUUAAAAUUUAAAAAUAUGACUUAAGCCAAAGUCUAGUUUUCUUUUCCACAAUUUUAUUUUCACUUUUCUCGUAUUAGUUCUUUUAUUAAAAAAAAUGGAUAAUUUGUUUCUUUUAUUUUAGAUAAUAAUCGAGUGUUUUUUUUUUCAAAUAACAAACAUACAUGAAUAUAGAAUCAAAGUAGAAGUAAUAAUUGAAUCCACUAUUAUUCAAGAUAAUAAAAUACUUAAAAGAAAUAAUUGAUAUUAUAUCUUAUACAAAUGCAUCUAAUACAUCCCUCGUUUGGUUUGGUUCGGUUCCGUUUCUUGAACCAAUAAUUUUCAGUUUUCUUUAAAUACUAUUCAAUAUGUCCAAUUUUACAUAAAAAAGUAGAACCAAAUCAAUGAGUUAGUUUUCAAAAUUUUGGUCGAUUUUUGUUGCACCCUUACUUUUAAGUUUAAUUUUUCUCGUCUCUAAAUUUCUAAAUGUUGUAUUCUUACUUAAUUUUAUUUUUUUAAAAAAAAACCUCUGUCUAUUAAAGAAUCUAACAUUAAAAUUAAUUAAAAAUGGUUUAACCAAAACUUAAACCUUACUUAAAAGUGUGGUUUUUUCCCUUUGCGAAAAAAGGUAUAGUAUUUAAGCCAACAAUUUGUUGAUCUUUGAUUUAAAUGGCUAUUUAUUGUUCAUAUAUAUAUUUAUUAUUAAAUGGAAAUUAUAAAAUAUGAUCCUCAUUAUUAACCUAUGUGAUACGAUUUCUUAAGAGAUGACAUAAAAGAAUACAAUAUAUGUGAAAUUAAAUUAAUUACAUCUUCCAAAAAAAGUAAAUCAAUUAAUUAUUAUAUUGAGGUAGUUGUAUUAGGGUUUGAGUUGAGUGAAAUUCACUCCUUCAUAAACAAUUCUGACUACAUUUACUAUUAUGAUUCACUACUCCAAUCAAUAUCCUAAUUCAAUUAUCAACUCCAAUACUUUUCUUUAUCAAAAUGUAUAAUACUCUUUGUCUUUUUUUCAAAAAAAACAAAUAUUAUAUUUAUAAUGGUUUCAAGAUAAUAUAUUAUUUAGAAACUUUUUUUAAUAGAAAGAUCAAAAACUAAUUCAUAAGUUAUAAACAAGAAAAUUACUUCUAACAUUAUAUAGUGAUAAAUACUAAUUUUUACUACUAACGUGAGUGUGUCGUUAUUUUUUAAUUCUACUUUUAAAAAUAGAUUGACAAUUUUUCUAUCUUGUGAAAAUUUCUUUAUUAUUUAUGUUAUUGAGGUUUGUUUCAUUCUUCUUUUUAUAUUUUUGAAUUUCAAACUUCAAAUUUUAGCGGUAUGCUUUCAAUGAAUCUUUAAAUUAGUCCACACAUAUAGUUAGUUUAUAGAUUUUUUUUUUCAAAACAAAAUGGUAUCUACUAACAUUUUCUUUAUAAUUUAUAAAAACAUAUUCGCAUAUUAUUUUUUCACGAACAUUAUUAUUAUUAUUAUUUAACCAAUUACGAUAAAAAUAACUCUAAAUGAUAAAAUGUAAGCUUUGUUGCAGAGUAUGUUAACAGUUCUCAUAUUAAUUAUUUUGACAUCAUUGGAGAAGAGAAUAAAACUGUUUGAGAUGAGAGAGUAAACAUUCUUAAUAACUAAAAAGAAACUAAAAGAAUAGAGGGGAAGAAUUCAAAAUACAGAAAGCAAAUUGGAUAUAAUUUUGAGGAUUGUAGGUAGAAGGUAAGUAUGAAGCCUUUAAGCUUUAGAACAUGAAAGGAUGGAAUAAAAUGUGUAUAAAAAUGAAGAAGAAACAAAAAGGCAAAGAAAAAAGAAAAGAUGAAAAGAAACAUAAUGAUGAAGAGGAGGGUAGAAGAAACAAGAAGGGGUAGAAAGUUGAUAGGCUUUGUUUGACUCAAAAUGCUUAAUCAUUAACCAAAAUAAAAUUAAAAAUACAUAUUUAUUUACUUACUUUAGGGAGAGAGGAAUGAAUGAAUGUAAGAAUGCAUGCAAUUCAAUUAUUAGAGCCUCUAUUUCAUGAUUUGCUUUUUACACCUAAAUUUGAAUCUCUUCUUCAAAAGUCGCGCCGCCUUUAAAGACCUUUCUCUACAUUCCUUUACAUAUUACAUAUCACUACCAACUCUUCCUAACCAUUUUAGUUUCAUUUCUUUUAACAUUCUUCUCCUUCCUUUACUUACUACAUACAUACAUAUAUAUAUAUAUUAAUCUAGAUGUCAAUGGAUGGAUGAUUGAUGGUUUAUAUAAAGCUUUACCCAAGUUCAAAAGUCAAUUAAUAAUCACCAAGGCCAACAACUUUUACUAAUGAACUACCACCUUUUCUUUCAACUGUACUUUUUUUUAAAAGGAAAAUAAUUGUAAUCAUAUUUCCCACUAAAACAAUCAAUUGAAAUAUUAAAAGUACUAUUUGCUUUAAAAUUUAAGUACCAAAUCCAACCGGGCAUGAAAGGAUGAAACUUGACUACCUUGUUUCAAAUUGAUAAUGAUAUCAUUUAAUUUUGAUCCUAUUAUUUAUGAUUCUUCAAUAUUAGAAUCUAAACAAAAAUAGGGGAUAAUUGAUUGCAAAUUGCAAUGUGCAAUUAAUUAAGAACUAAUUGAUUCACAAAUAAAAAUGAGAGAGGCCACACGUAUCUCAUUCGUCCGUUUCAUACUAACUUAAAUUAACCUACACUACCCAUUGCUCGAAAAGGCGUGCCACAAUCAAAACGGUGCGUGGUAGCAGCAACAAUUUGAUUUUACCCAAAUCACAAAAUUUGUAAAAUUACAACUCCCAAAUUUCUUUUAACCCCAAAAAGAAGAAAGAAAGAAAGAAAAGGAAAGAAAGGGAAAGGGAAAGGGUUUAGGGUAAGGGUAAGGGUAAGGGUAAGGGAGGAAGUAAGCCUGCGUGGCAUCCACUGUUAACUUCCGUACAAUGAGCAAUUGGACCCACUCAAGCACAGAGGAAAGCUGACCUGUUAUCGUUUCUAUGGCUGAUGAUGGUGGUGGUGCUGGUGCUGGUGCUGGUGGUUUCGUCCUCUUCGGCCAUCCAGGACCGCUGAUUCAUGUGAAUCACAUACCUGGGUUUUGAACUUACAUCCCAACCGUCUGAUCAACGACGCUCGCCAUCUUCCUCCAUUACCUUGUGGGCUCCCGGCCUUAUCGAUCUUCUCGAUCACUUUCUUCAUCGUUGAGCACUCUCUUUCAAGCUGAUGCACCCGCGUCCUCAUACUAUCCAUAUCUAACCGAAGCAUCUGAUUCUCUCUCACCGUCUCUCUCCACGUGCCAUUCUCGUGCACUAUUGCUCCCGCCGGGAUUUCCUCCUCCUCCUCCUCCAAUUCCUCUCCCACUCCCCGUUCCACAUCCUCCGUUUCACGACGGGAUACGCCUGAGAAUCUUCCGGUAUCCGCCGGUACUGUCUCCGCAGCCAUGAGUGUUCCAGCGAUGGCGUGACGGAGCUGCAGCUGUUCGAAGAACAACACCUGCACUACUGCUCGGAGUGGAAGACGGUCGUUCUGAGCAGCGUGAGUGCAUGCCUCUAGUGUCAGCUUUUGGCAGUCCAUUACUCCACAUAUCUUCUCGCGUUCUGCUUCGGAGAUCCAUGGAUGGGCCUAUCAAAAAGGAUUUUCAAAAUUAAUUUACUAAUGACGAAUUGCAGAGUGAAAAUUAGGAGAUUGUUUUUUGCGAACCUUGAGGUACACAUCGACGGCUCGGUAAACACCGUCAUCGAAGAGUCUAGCCUGUUCAGGGAGAGAAAUUGCGAGGUUGUAGAAUCUUUCCGCCUUCAGAUUGCCGUCUGAGGCAAUCUCCGCGAGAUAUCCAUCUAUCAACUUACCGACGAGCAUUAACGCUGGCGAUCUGGUACCAUCAUCCUCGACUACAGCUUGAUUAACUUCAGCUACCUCUGCAUUUUUCUCUUCGAGUCCCUCUAAGAAGUAAGAUAAGAUCCUCUCUGCACAAUCAACGUCAUAUAAGGUCUCGUUCAGAUACGAAUAGCUCGGAAUUAGAAGAUCGUCCAGUGUUGCUUGUUCCAGUUGCGAUCCUAUUUUCUUCUCUAAAGCAGCUUUGCAAACUUCCGAAGCAUUCAAUAUAUUGGCCGUCCGCAGUAGUCCGAAGAGGAACCUUGUUGCGGUUGGAGUUUUUGAGCUUUUCUCCAAUGGAAGAUUACUGAUUAUGGUCUCUAACAACUCCUUUUGAUCAGUCUCCGUAGGCAUACUAGAGGAAGAGGCAGAUGGUAACGAUGGCUUCCGGUUGGACCUGGAUAUACCUGGAAUAUAUUUCUUAGCGUAGUUCAUUAAACAGCUCUCAAUAAUCUCCGAGCUCACAUCUCGAUCUCUCAUGGAGAAAAUUAACCGCUUAAACAGAGGCAGACUGAGCUGGGCGAGAUCCUCAAACCAUGACCCUCCCUUGCUUCCUCUACCACCGCUCUUCUUUCGCCCUCCAGUUUCAAUUCCGUUCCAAAGCAUCUGCUUCGAUUGAUCUUGAGCGCUAUUGGCUCCAUCGCUGACUGGCCAUCCAAACAAAGCUGGAUCGGCGGAUGGCGCUUUCGAAGCGAUCGAAUCGAUACAUCUCUGCGUAAUGCUUAAGGUCUCGGCCAGAGGCAUUACAGGCUCACAAGAUUUCAGCGUUUUAAUUGAUUCUUUGAUGCUUCUGAGUACAGUUUGGGAGAGAUAUUUUUCGGUUUUUGAGAUUAGGUUUUCUACGCUGUACUCUUCCGUCAUUUCCAGAAACUCUCCGGCGCAGCGGAGAGGAGCGACAUUGGAAGAGUUGAGGUCGAUCUUCACGCCGUAGCAGAAUUUAGAUGCCAUUUCGAAAAUAUCAGAACCGCCGGGGAAAUCAGAGAGCACUAUAUGGCAGUGAUCUUCCUCACCUUCAUCAUCUUCUUCUUCGUCUUCGUCUUCUUCUUCCUGUUGCUCUGCUUCAGCGGUUUUAUUUUGAUUCUCUCUGGUAGGAGUAGAGCAAUUUGCUUCUUGCUCGGUUAUCAAAUUGUGAAGCUUCCGGCUCUUUGACAUUAGAGGAAACUGAAAAUUUACAAACUAUUAGCCCAUAACUCAAGAGGAACAAUCCGACACAACCAAAUCAACCAAGGACAGAAAAGUAGUAGUCAAACAAAAUUAGCAACAAGAUUCAGGAGGCGACCUUAUGGAGAUGGAAAGCCAUAUCCUCCACUUCGAUGACAAUGUCGCUCGGUAAACCAGUGGUGCAGAACCUGUGAAAACAAAACCCAGAAAAGAAGUGUUGACAUGAGAGCUUAAACCAAAGGUCUAAAAAUGGGGAAGACAUAAUAACUCAGAACUCACCAAGCUUGCCUUUUGGAGCUGGGGUUCUCUGCAGGUGCAGCUUGUAUUUCAGUAGCCAUUUUCUGUACACUGCCACACCUCGAAGAAGAAUCAGUCCCUGAAACUAGAAACCCAGAUACAUUUGUUGCACAGAAAUCUGUGGGGGGGUUUGUUUAGAAGAUAAACACAAAGAAACAAACGAACAAAUGGAAAGAAGUGAGAUCCUUUUAGGAGUGUUUUAGUAUGGGUGAAAUGGACUUGACUUAGGAUCAAGGAAGAAGAAGAUAAAAAGAAAAACAAGGAGUGAUGGGGGGCAGAAAAAUGUUUGGUUGUGCUUUAGCUGCUUGCGAUUUCCUUUCUUCAGAAGAAUAAAUCUGACAAUGGGGGGAGGAGCAUCAUCAAAAGGCGAAGAAUGCUCAAUGGGAAUUAAAAAGGGUAAUUAAAAAAAGAAAGAAAGAAAGAAAAACUCUUUUCUUCUCAGAUCCGACAAAUGGGGUUUCAACAAAAUUUCUUUUUUCUUCGUUGCUCUCUUGGUCUACGAAUCAGGUCAGAAUCUCACCCACUCCAAUUUUUAAAAACUUCCAUCAAAUUAAAUUCAUUCAAUUCUUUUCUUUCUUUCUUCAUCCUCAAAUAAUCUGAAUUUUGGAUAUUUUCUAACUUCUUUCUAUUCUCAUAAAAAAAAAAAAAAAAAAAAAAGAGUUUCUUGCUUUGCUAGGACCCUAAUUUCCAGACCGUCGGUUACAUUUUAUUUUGUUUUUUAAUCAUUUCAGCUUUGUUGUUUAUUUAUUUAUUAACACAAAAGUUUUAGUUUCUAUAUUUCAAAUAGAAUAUCCCUAUAUUAUUACCCAUUCUUUUCUUUUCUUUCUUUAUUUAUUAGUACAUAUGAAUUAUAUUUUUGGAGAAGCAUAUAAUAUGCUUAGCAUAUGAUUUUACAAAACAUUUACUAUUCAAAAAUUGUACGUAGUUUACAUUCAAGCUCCUAAUAUUUAGUAAUUAACUAUACUUUCAUUUUUUGGUUUAGAAAUACAUCAUUUAACACAAAUUAAGAAACAUAAAUACAACUCUAUUUUAUCUUAGUUUUUAGAUUAUAUACCGAGAAGAAAACUCUUGAAUUAUUUAUAAAUUUAAUUUUGUUUUAGUUAUUAAUACAUACUUUAGCUAAGCUAUUCAUAAAUUGGUUACUUUCAUAAUUUAUGACAUUAUAAAUUGUACUUUUAAAAAAUAUAAAUUAGAACUGUUUCUUCAAAAGUGAGUGAGGAGUAAUUACUUAGAAUACCAAAAAAAGAAACUCUUUUAUUUCCAUUAAACCAAAUUGUCAUUAACUUUUCGUAAUGACUGGAUCUAAUAAAAUCUUAUUAGAAAGUUUCUUACCCAAAAUUUCAUUAUAUUAUAAUUAUUAAAAAGAUUCCAUUCUUCAAUUUCAGAAGAAGAAUUUACAUUUGGGAGAAAAAGAUCAAGCUUGGAUUCUGAGGUUCGUUUACUUGUAAAUUGCAAUCUUAUCUCUUUCGUCUAUUUUUGUGAAAAUUAAAUUUUAUCAGAGUAUGAUAUAAACUUUAGACACCACCAUCUCCAAUACUACUAAAUGCAUUGAGUUGAGUUAGAAUUAGAUAGGUAAAAAAUUAUAUUUAAAACAUUAACAUAUAUAUAAACAUAGCAAAUAUAGGAAAGUUCUCAUAGAAUUGACAAGUUUUGCUAUAUUAUCCACCUACUCUGCCUGUGCCGCUUCAACAAGCUCAAUCUUUGUUUUAUAAAAUGAGAUGGGAGUUUGGGUGAAUGAUCUCUCCUCCUCCUCCUGAUACGUUGUUCUAUAGAAAAGGGAAUUAGAUAGCUUUUUUCUAAAAUAGGUUUGAUAAGUAAAGAAAAAUGGAUAAAGAAUCUUUGGGACAGCUCGUAUGAGUUAUGAAUGGGCCUAAAGUGUAAGGGUGACCUCAGCAGGAGGGAAUUACUCAUAAUAAUGGCAAGCCUACCCAAAUAAGAUGAGAUGAGACCUUAGGGCAAUUCACCAAUAUAAUGGGAAUGGGAAUGAUGUGGGGUCAUCCAUAUGUAUUUUGUGAACCCUUUAUGUAUCCAAAUAUUUUGGAUUUCAAUCUCAUUUUCUCUCCCAAAAAUACUUUCUUCUACUUUUUAAUUUUUCAUUAUAAGUUACAAAAUAGAGAGAUUAUGUUAUUUGUUGAGAUAUAAAAAAGAAAAUUAGACCAAUAAUGGAGGUGUAAUGUAUUGGUAAGCAAUGAUGUGGAUGUUAGAGAAAAUGAAAAGAAAGGCGCAUGGGGGUAUUAAUUACUAUGUUGAUUAAGGGGGCAUAUGUAUUAUUAUUAAUCAUAAAAUAGUAGAAACCAUAUGGGAAAUACAUAAUUAUGCAAUGAUUUCAACUUUAACAUUAUAAAAUUGUAAAGAAGAUUAGAUUAUAUUUUGGUAGACAGACAAACCCCACUUACUUCUAAAAGUGAAUCUUUUCCCUUAAUUAUUUUCCCUUUAUUUUGGGGUUGGAAAAUCUUGAUUCAAUUAAAAUAUGUAUAUACAAAAAAGAAAGAAGAUUGCAGGAAUGGUAAGAAGGGAAUGAAGUAAUAAUUGAAACACAUGGUUUGGAUUUUGGAUAUGAAAUUAUAAUAAGUCUCUAAGAUGAGAAGGAAGACAAACAAAGACAAUGUAAUGCCAAAUCUUUUUUUUUUUUUAGUUAAGAAUAAUCUAGUAGGUUUUUCUAGGUUUGUCUUUCACCCCCCAUGUUAAUCUUCAAUCUAAUUAUUUGUUUAAGGGAAUAAUCAACUUAUAUUAUCAAAUUAUAAAUGUUUUUCUCUACUUAUUAAUUAACAUAAUUAUAUUUGCCUAAUUAACCAUGCUAUUUUGAAUUUAUGUACUAAGUAGAUAGGACAAUGAAUUUUAAGAUAUCUCGAAUAUUUUUAUGCAUUUUACUUCUUCUUUUAACUAAAAUCGUAAAGAUGAGAUCAAGCCUUAAAUCUCAUGUUUUUAACAACAUUGGUUCACAAGUGUUCUAAUUUAUUUAAAAGGGUUUAUUAAUUUAUUACUUAAAGUUUUGUAUUCCUUAUUUUUAUGAAUAAUUUGAUAGAAUUGAAAGUUGGAAUGUUGAGUGGUAAAUAAGUAUCCUAACUCCGACGUUAGUGGUAAUUUAAAAAUGUGAAGUGGGCAAAGCACUUUUGAAAACAGGAGGAGGGGGAAAGGAAACGUAAACGUCCAAAGAGGCACAAACCCCCAAGAAAUUCAGGUAAGUUAUGGCCAUUGAGGGGCACAAAAUCCACAAAAAUACACAUUCUUUCAUUACUUUAAUUUAUUUAUUUAUUCAUACAAACCCACACUCAUUUACUUUAUUUAUUUCAUACCUAAGAAUUAACCACGUAGCUCAACAUAUAUAAUCUUAUAUUUCAUAUUCAAAAUGCUUUAAUUUCAAAUAUACAUAUAAAUAUUAUUAUUGUUGUUGUUGAUAAGCUUUGCUUUAACUGAAAUACCUCCUUUUCUUUUUGGUAUCGACUUUUGAUAUAUAUAUAAAAAAAAAGAUUUAGAAAUGAGAGGAGAGAUUAAUGAAGAGUAUAUAGAUAUGGAUGAAAAAGUGUAUUUUGUUGGUAGUUUCUAGGAAUGUAUGAGGCAAAUUAAACAAAGUUUAAUGGAUUAUUUGAAGUAAUGUGAUAGAGAUAAAAGGGGGCAGGGCAUUAAAGUGAAGGGGCAGUGCACCCCCAUCUAUAGAUGUUGGGGAGGGUGUUGCCCACAUACAUCUUAAGGGCUUUUUGUGGGUUGCUACUUGCUGGAUUAACUGACCACAUGGCUCCCAAGAAACUCUCUCCAUAUUCUUUGCUGCCUUUGCUUGCAAUCCACAGCUCAACAUUAUACACCAACAACACAUACAUUAUUAUUGAAUUUUAAAAUAAAACAAGAAUAGUUUUAAGUUAAUUCGAUGAUCAUUUUUGUUUCCGAGUUCUUAAGAAUUUGUGCAUUUAUUUCUAAACCUCACAAAAGUGGGUCAAUAAUAUAAUAUUUUGUGUUUUUUUUUUUUAUAAAAAAAAGUUUUUAUUAAUUAUGAACAAACACACCCCAACCCACAAUACCCACAGUCACCCACAUUUUCAAUCCCAACCCCCACCUUCAUCUUUAGCCCAGCCCACAUCUCUUCUCAAGAAUGGUUUAUCAAAUUGUUGGAAGCUCUGCACAAGUGAUUGUCAAGAGUCUCAAUAAUCCUAUUUCUCUCAGUAUCCUUCUAUUAUGGUCGAUUUGGAUGCCAAAGAGGUGAUGAACUGCUUCUCACCCUUUAUUGAGUUAAAUAAUACAUUAAAUAAGAUUAAAUAUAUGUAAAACUAGGUAUUGUUGUCAUUAGUGAGUGUAUUAUAAGUUUCUUGUCAUGCCUAAACCAAUUAUCUCAAUUGAACCAAAUUGGACUCAUUUUUUUCUUCUUUUCAGAUGUUUAAUUGUGAAUUUGUUUGCUCAUAAGGUUAACUUUUGGGUAAUGAAUUAACUAAGCAAACUGCCUAAUCCAAAGUGAAAAAGUCGAAUGAAAAGAUUUGAAUGACUAAACUUAUCUCGUUAUGAACUCCCAAAACGUCAUUCCCUCACAUUUGUAAUUCUCCAAUGGCUCGCUUUGCUCCUUCAAAUUCCAUCGCUCUCCACCGAAUUCCUCUCUGUUUUCGUAUCCCUCACCCUCUCCUUCAACCCUCCGCCGCCCGCUUUCCAUCUUCCCCCCGCCGAUUUCCUCCAUUAGCCUGCCAAACGCUUCCCGAAUCGCACGACACCACCUCCGCUCCGGUAUGCUUCAAUCUCUUCUCUUCUUAUUGUUUUUGCUUAAUUUUCUUCAAUUAUUGAGUCAACCAUAUUAGCCCUAAUUCCCUGAAAUCGAAACCAAUUCAAUUUUAUUCUCGCUUUCAGGAAAAAUCGUCGAACGGUCCUGAAUCACCCGGUGACACCACUGGCCAAGCCGCUAGCUCUUCAAGUAAUCAGGGUUUUCCUGAGUUUCCCAAUAAAGAUAUCAAUAGACGAGUUGCUAUAGUUUCCACGGUUUCAGCACUGGCACUUUUCUCGUCAAGUCGAUUGGAUUUUGGUGUUUCUUUGAAGGACUUAGCUGCUGCGGCUUUGCCUUAUGAAGAGGUUUGGAAAUUUGGAAUCUAAUAGUUCUAGCAAUCUCUUUGUUUUACAUGAUUAUGAUUUCACAUUCUUCAAGUAAUUAGAGCUCAUGAUGAAGAUUCAUAUGAUGAUUCAGGCUCUUUCAAAUGGGAAGCCCACUGUUGUGGAGUUCUAUGCAGAUUGGUGUGAAGUUUGUAGGGAAUUGGCUCCAGAUGUAUACAAAGUUGAGCAACAGUUCAAGUAAUACUUUAUGGAAAUGCUUGUUUACAAGAAUUUUUUGUUGUUUGAAUUUAAGGAAGGUAAAUAGAUCUUUGUUCUUCCAGGGACCGUGUGAAUUUUGUAAUGCUUAAUGUUGAUAAUACAAAGUGGGAGCAGGAGCUUGAUGAGUUUGGUGUUGAGGGUAUUCCACAUUUUGCUUUUUUAGACAAACAGGGGAAUGAAGAGGGCAAUGUAGUUGGUCGACUUCCAAGACAAUAUCUGCUGGAGAAUGUAGACGCUCUUGCUCGUGGAGAAGCAUCGAUACCUCAUGCUCGUGUUGUGGGACAAUUUUCAAGUGCUGAAGCAAGGAAAGUGCACCAAGUUUCUGAUCCAAGAAGUCAUGGGUAGAUUCUCUUCCUUUCUUUGAAGCAUUAGGUCAACAAGUUGCCAAUUCAAAUACUCUUUGAUAGGUAUUCCAGAUAUAGUUAGUCCAUCUUAUACCAUAUAUCCAAUUGUUUAUUGUACUAUGGACAUAACUUCUUCUCUUGAUAGUAAAUAAGUCUUUAUUUCUUCUCUUGAUUGUAAAUAUCUGCUUUUUUAUGUUAACUACUGGUGGGUUUAAUGAUUAAAAGAACAAGUAACCAGGUUGAAUCCUUCAUAUUUUUGUGGUGUUCUGCAAUCUUUAUUUACUCAAUUAUGAUAAUCUCAUUACUUUUACUUUUGUACAUGUUUUGGAAAAAUGAAACAAGUAAUACAAGAAUUGUAAUCGAUCAGAUAAGCCGAUCCCAUGGCUUGGAUCUGAACUUCAUGUGAAGAAAAUGUCCUAUCGCUUGGCAUGUGGCAUUCCCUUAAGACGAGUGAAGAAUGCUUCACAUUUUUUGGAAAAUGGCAUUGGCAUCUACAAUUCUAUCAAUAAGGAGGUUAAAAACAAUGAUGACACAAUAUAAGAUAUUCCGUAGGGUACACAAAUAAUGGUGAAAUGUAAAAGGUUAAAUGUCCUACAAAAGAUCUUCCUCUUCUUCUUCUUCUUCUCUUUUCACCGUGCUACAUUACCCAAUAAACUAUUUGUUGAAGGGGAGCUUUGUUCACUUAACCAAGGAUCCUGUAUUGAAACUGGGGAGCUAUCCAUAACCUCCUCCACAGGAGGUAGAUAGUCCUUAUUAUGGUUGUUCUCCGGCGGGAUUAUCAAUCUCUGGCUUCCCAAUCCUGCAAGCAGCCCGGCCUUCUUAAUUGUUAUGCCACUUAUGGAUCUCUCGCUUAUGCUACGAGGAGAUGAACAAGCUGAUCCUGCAGAUGAUGCUCCACAAAAAUGCUCCUCCAUUGAUGUCCAUCCACUGCGUCUGAUGCUUUCCAAUUCCUCUGCUACUUCUGUCAUUGAAGGUCUCAUGUCGCUGUGGAAAGCAAGGCAUCUGAAUGCAAGCUCAGCCACCUUGUGAAUAGAGUAGAGGGUCCAAGCAUCUCUAUGUGGCUCGAGGAAAGGAUCAAUUAGUUCAUCCACAGAGUUUCUCCCAAUCCUAUCAAUGGCAAGUGCAGCUAAGUUUACUUCACUUUGGGGACGAGUGAAAUCAACCACUUUCAAUGCUGUUAUUAUCUCUACUAGGACUACUCCAAAACUAUAUACGUCACUUUUGUCUGAAAGAUAAAAAUUUUGAUGGUAUUGUGGAUCAACGUAGCCUGGGGUUCCUUGGGGAGCUGUUGAGACGUGCGAUAUUUCUGUCAUACCAAGUCGAGAGAGACCAAAAUCUGCAACUUUUGAUUUGAAACCAUGAUCCAGGAGUAUAUUGCUCGAUUUGAUGUCUCUGUGAUAUAUUGGUGGGUGCACAGAAGAAUGAAGGUAUGCUAUUGCACGAGAAGUCUCGGCUGCUAUAGUGAGCCGUGUUGUCCACGGGAGUCCAUUUCCACGCUCUCUCUGGAGAUGUUGAGAGAGAGUUCCAUUGGGCAUAAACUCGUAUACAAGGAUCUGUUGGCCCUCCUCGAUGCAGCAGCCAAGUAAGCGGACCAGAUUUGGGUGGCUCACCGAGGAAAGGAGUUUUAUCUCAUUCAUAACCUGGUCAAUGCUGUUGUGGUCUCUGUAUUUGAUCCUUUUUACAGCAACCCACUCAUCCUCGUGAAGCCUUCCGGCAUAGACUGUACCAAAGGCUCCAGUUCCCAGACGUUGUUUCUCAGAGAAGCCAUUAGUGGCUCUUUCUAUUUCUUUGUAGGGGUAUAAAGUAACACUGGAAUUUCCGGCAGCCUCACUUAGAAGCCGCUUUGCACUCAUCUGACCUUUCAGACACAUUGAGCGGCGUCGGAUGCAGUAACAGAUAAGGGUCAAGACAGCCAUUAGAAACGCCCCUACAAUGACACCUGAGAUUAUAACUGUGUUAGGUUAGAACCAUAGUUAGCCAAUUGACGUGUUCCUUCAUAAUAAAUCCUUAUCAAUUGAUGGACACCAUAUUAUUUACAUUUAAAUGAAAUACGGUCCAGUUACCUGCAAUUAGUGCAGCGACUUUGCUUUCGCCACCACAUCGUCCAGUUAUGUAUGUUGGAGGGUUGCAUUUGUGAGAAACUGUAGUAAUUGCCAAGGAGCCCAGCAUAACAAAUUAAUAAAAUAAGCAACAGACAUAAGCAGCUUGACAAAUAAUGAAUUGAACACAAAAGUGAACAAUGCUUUAUGUUCGAACACUUGCAAUAUUCAAGUAUUUGAUUCUCUGUUUCAAAAGAAAAAAAUUGUUCAUUUAUUGACUGUCCUGGAAAAUUAAUUAGAACAAGAGCAACGGAUAGGGAAAUAUAUAAUGAAUAGACGCCAUGGCAUGUUAUGACAACUGGAGAACGUCCCAAAAAAAAAAAAAAGAAAAGUCUUACACUCCUAGUCGUAACUGUACCGCUGCUUGUGGUAGAGAAAUGACUCAAAGCUCUCUCUCUCUCUCACCCCCACAAGGUCUAAACACCUCAAUGACUUCGCAGUUUUACUCUAAAACAAUGUUCCAUGGUAUCUAUCUCUCUUUGACUUGUAAAAUUAUCAGAAGCCUAGAGAGUAGGAACCUCGUUUUAAAACUCUAAGUUGGCAACAUUUAUGGCGCAUAUUAUGAGCUAUAGUUAUAAACAACCCAAAUUAAAAUCCAUUGAUGUUGCGUUCUCUCUUUGACCAAUUCUAGAUCAUUCAGACACUUUGAAAAAUUAGCAUCACACUUCUCUUCCUCUCUCCCUCUCUCCCUCCCUUUAAUAUUAUUAUUAUGGGCACAUGGCAUUCGGUUUUCACACCUAAAUGAAUUUUCUGACUUUUCACACUCAAGUCAUAUCCACCUCAAGAACCAAUAUGACAUAUAGCCAAACUUUCAGAAAUGUACAGAAUUGACUUUCCCAUUAACCAACAUUAUUUUAAAGACGUCUCAAAAUGAAAAAGACAUUUUAAAAAUUCUAAACUGAAUAGGAAAAAAUUGUAAUUUUGAAAUAUUUAAUCCAACAAGCUCCCCCCCCCCCCCCCCCCAAAAAAAAAAAAAAAAAAAAAACAGAGAGAGAGAAAGAAAAAAGGGAAAAAGCCGAACGAACAGCCUUUGAUUAUUUUUUCUACCCAUUUGGAACUAUUUAAUCUUUCGGAAAUAUAUAGAAAAAAAAGUCCUAUUUCUAAUUUUAGCAAGGUUUUACAGAAUUUAACCACCAUUUUUGCCACCGUCGGACAAAUCAAAUGUAGACGGGGAAGCAAGCAAAUGGUUAAUUAGCCUUUCCCCUCGACAAGAAUGAGCAUCAUUGACUAGAAAGGACAAGGUGUCGACCUCUAAUUGGCUAACAUGUGCCGUUUCUUGUCGUGUAGUUUCCCCAUUUAUCCUUGGAGAUAGGUAUAUUAGGCUACCCACUAAAAAAUUAGAAAUAAACAGCAACCCAAUGCGUUGAAUAUUCAAAUUACUCAUAUUUAAUAUCUAUUUUAAAUAAAAAUAAAUUGAAUGUAGCCACCGAAUUGACUCAACGACUAACCUCUCCGGCAGCCGCCGCCGUCGUUGUCAUAAGCAUUUCCUUCAAACCCUUCUUCGCACUGGCAACGAAAUCCUAGGUUCUCCGUCGAGCUGGUAAUGUUCUCACGAUUGGCAUUUUUUGAGCAUUGUGCGACAGACGAAGGAGAGACCCACCACUCUAACUCAAUGACCCCAAACUCGACCUCGAACUGAGUGGUCGAAUUUGACGUAAAAUUAACGAAUACAGAGGACAAAAGGGAGUGGCACUUAUUUAAAGGAGGCAGAAAUCCAUUUUGCUCGGUCUUGGUGAAACAGCUCAUAUUAUUACUCUUAAGGCCGCAGUCCGUCGGCUGAUUCAGGGUGAAAUUCCCCAUGACUCCGCAUGGAAGUGGUUGUUCGGUACAAUUCAAGAAGAGACUGUUGCGGAGGGUGGGCUUGUAGUUUUUGCUGGACAGUUCUGAGAGUGAAUUGAUAGGGAUAUUGCACCCUGUAGGAAGUUUGAUGAUGAUACUUCUUUCAUUAAUGUUCUGAACCUGGAAUCUGCCGAUUUGAAUCUCGCCAUUUUUGCUGCAACCCAAUUUGAUUGGUUUCACGUCUGUGAAUCCAAACGGAUGGCGUACAAAUUGAGCCGAAUUACCGGUUUCGCAGGACGUUAAACCCUCGGCGAUUGUUAAAAAAGCCGAGAAAAUUGUGAUUACAACGAUCAAGCAGUUUCGAUGCAAAGUCAUAGUUGACUGCAGCUUACUCCAACUGAACAAACAACAAAAAGAAUCAUCCCCUCCCUCCCUGCAAAAGAAAAUUUAUCUUCAAAACUAAGCCAAAUAAAAAUCUAAUGCCUAUUCACCAAUACGAUCAGCAGAAUUUGAAAAGAAGAAAAAAACAAUAGAAUUUCAGAAAGGUUUUCAAAUGCGAACAAAUCAACCAGUCCGAUUUCUGUCAACAAGUUUCGUAAAUAACCUAGAAAUUUCAAAAACUCUGAAAUUAAAUGAAGAAUUUAAAGCAGGACUGCGAUGCCGUUGGGAGGCCAUCCAUCCUAAUAAAUACUCUUGAGAUGGAAGCAAAUAUCAUAUAUCAUAUUCAUAUAGACGAAAAAGAAGGAACAAUUUCUACGGUCAUAGCAUUAAUGAAUUGAAACCUCCACCUCUGACCUCGCUCUUCAAUGGCAGUAAAUGCUCUGUUGAUCACACUUGUAAGCUGGUGAGAGAAGAGGUGGACACGAUCAUUGAAGUCGAUUUCAGAGGAAAAUUAAAAGAUUAGGUUUCAAUCAAAGAAAAAAUUGAUCCCUAAAAAUGUUGUAAAGAACAACCCGAAUCGCUAGGCUUUGUUGAUUUUGAUGGAAAAUGGAAAGGGAAAGCUGAGAAAAAGAAAGAAGGAACCGUGAAAUUGAGACAGAGAGAGAGCUUCCUCUUCUUCUUAUUCUACUUUUGAACGUCUUGACGAUUUUUUUUUCAUUUUAUAAUAUGACCAAUCUACCCUUUAUCAUUUUAAUACACUCUCUCCCCACUCAACCCACCUCAAUUACCAAAAUACCCCCUCAUCUUUUUCAACAUUUAUUCCUUAUUAUUAAUUUAUUUUCCUAUUACAUCAUUUAUUUUCUUUCUUCAUAUAUAUAUAUGUGUGUGUGUGUGUAUGUCAUCCAUUUUCGUGUGGCAGUUAAAUCUACUACCAGAAUCAUUUAAAUGCCAAACAGUUUCAAAAUCAUAUACCUAAUCAAUUGAACAUAGUCCUAAUAAGGUUAUGACGAGGUUUUACUACACGAUUUGUUUUUUUAUUAACACGAUAUUAACAUAUUAGAGGAAUUUUAAAAUCUAAGUGACUAUAGACACAAAUCCAAAGAGGUUUUGUUUAUGAAAAACACAUUUAGAUUAGUAGUUUAUUUUGUAAUCACGUCAUAAUACCCAUCUCACGGAUGUUCAUCUAAUUUUGAAUGCCUUCUUGCAAAAAAAAAAUUAUAAAAUAAAGUUUGUAAUUUAAAAUGAAAUAGUAGUCUUUUAUAGUUAAUCCUUUCAUUAACUAACAACUGAUUUAAAACGAAGAAUGUUUGUUUAUUGUACAUUUCCAUAAUUACUAAAAACUUUAAAAAUAAGUUUUAAACUAACCAUAAUUUUCUUUUACCACAACAAUUCGAAGAUGAGAAACCAAACAAACUAUCAAGUUAGGUUGAUUUUAGCGUUUAAGCACGAUUAAACGAAUGAAAAUGACUUAAAUACAAAUAAUGGGGUGUGUGAGUUGUAAAGAAAAGUAUAGUAUAAAAAUUAAAAAGGAUAUUUAAGGCUAAAUGUGAAUGCAAAAUAAAUGAAGAAUGGAGUAAAAGUAAGGAAAUUUGGAGGAAAAAGGAGAGAAUAUUGUUACAGCAAAAUUAUAGCUUAUAAAGCCUCAUUUCAGUGUUAUCCACACGGAGGGAGACUUUGAUGUUUGUGGUUUUGAAAAGAAAAAAGAAAGGAUCAUUGUGGUUUUCCCUUUUCUCCCAUCUAAACAUACUUUUUCAACUUAUUCUCUCUCUAAAUUGUCAACAUAUAUUAAAUUUGGUUGUCCUUUCUUCUUUCAGAUAACGCAACAAAAAAAAAUUAAACCAUAUAAUAAAAAUCAACUUAAAAACUUAAGCUAAUUAGUAGGUGAAAGUAUAUAACAUGUUACCCAAAAUUUGGAUUGAGUUUUUAAAAUACCUUUAAAAGAUUAAUAAUAAAACUAAGGUUGGUGCAUAUGAGAAAAAGACUACACUAAUUGUUAGUUAGAAAUUAAGUUUAGGAAGAGAUUGGAUUUAAAUACUAUUUUGAUUAUGACCCAUUACAUACAUAUAUGUAUGUACACAAUCUAUUAAAAUGUACUUAUUUUUUUAAAAGAUUAUCUUAAUCCAACGGUCUAAAAUUUGGGAAAAAAAUAUUUCUUAAUAACUUAUUUUUAUUUAAACUGUUUUGAUAAAAGAAACUAUUAAAAUAUAUCUCAAAAAGCUUUUGAGCUUGCCAAGUAUUUUAAUUUUUUUAAAAGACUUCUAUUUUAAAAAAUCAACCGUUAAAAAAUGUAUAAAAUAUACCAACGCAACCUAUAGAUGUAAAUAAUUAAAAGACUAAAUUAUAAAAAGUGACCCUCAACUUUCAUGUUUAUGUAAAAAAUACCCACAUUCAAAAGUUUUAAAAAAUUCCUAAACUUUCAAAAAUACUCUUUCUGUUAGUUGUGGAAGAAAGGCCUUAAAACUAUUAAAGAGUUUCAUAAAUACUAAAAUUAUAAAAAAAAUUAAAACUAUUUCCAUUAAUUCAAUUUUACACCAAAUUUCUAAGUUUUCACGCUAAAAACCAAAAUUUUAGGUUACAACUAUAGUUUUAAAUUUCCAUGGAUGGAUGUUUUUAUUGAUAUUUUCACAUUUUCAUGGAUUCAAUAUUAAUAGAAAUGAUGAAUCAAUAUCAUCAUAAAAAUUCACCCAUCACAAAAAAUAAACCUGAAAGUAACACUACUAUAAACAUAAUAUAAAUAAUAAACAUGUUUACUUAUAUGAAAAUAAUAAAAUAUUUAUUUACUAAUUUAAAAUCCUUCUCUAAAUUGGUUGUUUUUAUAAUUUUCUAGAAAUAUCGUUGAAAUCAAAAUUUUAAUAAAAUUAACACUUCUAUAUAUUAGUAUAUAUCAAUCAACAUUGAUAUUUUAAACCUUGAUUAAAAUAUCAAAUUCUACAAAAUCUAACGUGUUUAAAAAAAUUCUCCUUAAAUCAUAUUAAAAUAAUGAUUAGUCAAAUAAAGCACGGAUAGAACUAUCAAACUAUCAGUAUGUGUUAAUAGUUAAAUACAAUUUUUUAUUUGACAAUUAGAUGUUUGUUAAUUACAAUAAUAACUAUUGAAAUGGAUUAGAUUUAUUAGUUUUGAUUUUAGUUGGUGAGAAAAUUGGGAUGAAAUUUAGAGUAUUUUGAAGAGUAAUUUAGGGUAAGAAAAAGUAGAUUCAAAAUAUAGGACGAAAAUGGAAUAUUGGAAAAGGUCAGCAACGGCAAAAGAGGAGCAGAUUUUUGGGUGGGAAUUGCAAAUUGCAAAUUGCAUGAAGUGAGAAAGUGGACGCGGAAACAAAAAUAUAUAGAAAGUCAGCGAGAAAAAUUAUAAAGAAAUUGACCAAUAAAUCCCAACAAACAGCCUUUUGUUUGUCCACAGCACCAUCACCUCUCACCUUUUCUUAUUCAUCCAUUAUUAUUAUUACUACUCAUCUUUGUGCUCAUUAUUGCUAAUCACCUUUUCUUCUUCUUCCUUUUAGAUUUUAUUAUUUGUUUUUGUUGAAGCAAUAUAGAAUUUUGAGGAAUAAAUAAUCUUCCAAAACUAUUUUGAGUAUACUUUACAUUAUAUAUUCAUAUUUAUGUAUUAUGUAAUGUCACAUUAAUAAACUAGUCACUAUAAUCAAUUUGGUCGACAUAACUAAUAUUUCUCUUUUGGAUAUUUAACUCUUCAACCUCAAUUUGGUACACAUAUGGAAGUGCUAGAAUGUCGCUUUUUUGCCUUUAGAAUAUGGUCCCAUGAGCCUUUGAAAAUUUUGUGGACGCUUUUGGGUGUUAAUAAUGGACUUCAUUUAUAGUAACUUUAAUCAUUGUCUAAAUUCUAAUUUAAUAAAAAAAAAUUAUUUAGUUUGAUUAUUGUCAACAAAAGUUUAGCUCAACUGACAUAUGUACGUAUUAAUAAUCGAGAUUCAAAUCUCUCCACUUCCGAUUAAUAAAAAAUGUUUGAUUAUUAUAAUUCUAAUAUAUGUUCAAACCACACCAUUGUUAUAUUAGUUAAGAGAAAAAAAAUCAUUGGGGGCAUUGUCGUUACAAGUAGUGAGAGAGAAAAAAAACCUAUAAUAUAGUUCUUAUAUAUAUCUAAAUUUUUCUUGCCCCUUAUUUUUAUGAUAAUGUAAUAAAGUGUGAAUCUUGUUCUUUUCUUUAAUAAUUAAAAAAAAGGAUAUAUAUAUAUAUAUAUAUAUAUAUAUAUAUAUGUAUAUGUAUUUGAUUACAUAAAAUUUAAAUCUUGAUUAGUGGGGGAAAAAAUAGAAUGUUAUAUUUGUUGAAAGUUGUCAUUUGAGAGUCUCAUUCAUAUAUUGCAUUUUCUUAUUUUGAAAUAAUUAAGUGUCUGAUUACUAAUCUUUAAUCAAAACGGGUAUUGGUAAUAAGUUUUUGAUAUAUCAAUCAUAAUAGACGAUCUUAAUUGUAAAGUGCAAUUGAAUUGCUUUCGAUCAUGCCUAUUGAUGCAUUUUUGUAAACAUAAUUUAGUUACUAUAUAUUGAUAUUAUUUAUUUUGUCUUUAUUUGGUAUCAUGUCUUCUUACUAUUAUCGUACGUGAAUUAUUACCGUUUAUGAUGAAUUGGUAACAAUGUUUGUAACAAUAACUGUAAUUGUAAUAGAUUUAUAAUUCUCAUACCAUAGUAGCAACAAUAACUAUAACAGUAAAAGUUUAAAACUGUAUAAAUGCAUGUGAAAAAAGUUAAAAAAGAUUAAAGAAUCUCAUGUAGUUUUCAAAUGCAAUUAGAUUGAUCACUUUUAUCUUUGUAUUUAGAUUGUAUUUGAUGAUCAGAGUAUCCCUCAUUAAUGAAAUAUAUGAUAAACAACCAUAAACAUGAUCAAACCAAUUAUAUUUUGGUUAGACUAAUGGAUUAUGUUUUUAGAGGAAAUAAUAAACAUGAGUUAGAUGAUUUAAUACUUAGAUGAGAAGGAAGGGUUAAGUGAAAGGGUUAAAUGUAAUUUUGUGAAGAGUAAUUAUUAGGGAAGAACGCAUAGAUAAGAUAAAAGGGAGAAGAGGAGGU